rnacentral:rRNA from 1 species
UACAGAGGGGGCAAGCGUUGUUCGGAAUUACUGGGCGUAAAGGGCGCGUAGGCGCCUUCUAAGUCGAACGUGAAAUCCCCGGGCUCAACCCGGGAACUGCGUCCGAUACUGGCAGGCUUGAAUCCGGGAGAGGGAUGUGGAAUUCCAGGUGUAGCGGUGAAAUGCGCAGAUAUCAGGAGGAACACCGGUGGCGAAGGCGGGUCUCUGGGCCGAUACUGACGCUGAGGAGCGAAAGCGUGGGGAGCGAACGG